rnacentral:rRNA from 1 species
AGCAGCCGCGGUAAUUCCAGCUCCAAUAGCGUAUAUUAAAGUUGUUGCAGUUAAAAAGCUCGUAGUUGAAUUUCGGGAUCAGUACGUCGGUCGUGCCUUCGGUAUGCACUGGUGUCACUGGUUCCUCCCUUCUGACGAACCGUCAUGCCAUUAAUUUGGUGUGGCGGGAAAUCAGGACUGUUACUUUGAAAAAAUUAGAGUGUUUAAAGCAGGCUCACGCUUGAAUACAUUAGCAUGGAAUAAUGAAAUAGGACGUUGAUCUUAUUUUGUUGGUUUCUAGGAUUGACGUAAUGAUUAAUAGGGAUAGUUGGGGGCAUUAGUAUUCAAUUGUCAGAGGUGAAAUUCUUGGAUUUAUUGAAGACUAACUACUGCGAAAAGCAUUUGCCAAGGAUGUUUUCAUUAAUCAAGAACGAAAGUUAGGGGAUCGAAGACGAUCAGAUACCGUCGUAG